CACUCCUGUAGUGUCUCAUCGGUCUCUGAGAAGAGUUAAGUCACACCGGAGGAACGCCGUCAGCCUGCUGGGAUUUUUCAAAGCUGCACAGGAAGGAUGUUUCCCGUCUCGCUCCUGGUUCUGGUUUUUCCUCUGGUCUCGGCCCAGACCUUCCAGUGGGGGCCUUGUCCGAAUCCAAACGUCCAGUCUAACUUCUCGCUUCAGCGGUACCUGGGAAGGUGGUACGAGAUCGAGAAG